CACCCCCAAUCCUCUAGUCCAUAUCGGACCCACAUAAGGCCACCAACCCUGUGAAGAAGGAGCUUCCACAAGAUGCCUGGGAGGCUGUGACAACCACACACACACACACACACACACACACACACACACAUACAUACACACACACACACACACACACACACACACACACACACACGCUGUGUGUGUCCCAGGAGCCAGAACGCCCCAGGACCAAAUGACAAGUUUAAUGCUAAAGACGCUAGGUGUCUUUAUAACUGCAAUACAGAGGAGCCUCAUUUGUUUGGGAUUUCGGUGCAAAUGGCAUGAAAGCUCAGGGCUUGGGGAGAAAGAAAGUCAAUCCAGUGGCCAAGGUCGGAAUACUGGAAUCAGAAGAGCUUGUGCGCAGUGCAAUGCAAACACUGUGUGUGUGUUUAUGAAAGAUGGAGAAUGAAGAGAGAAGAGGUGGUGAAGGCAGAGCUGGGCUCUGGGACCUGCCCGUGCCUGGGACUGAACCUGUGGCCUCUAUGGAGUCUCUCCCUCCAGCCAGGCUCCCCUUCCUCUAUGGUCACUGAUCCGGAGUGUGACCUCAGGAGGCCUCCAGAAAGAUGAAAGGCCUGUCCCUGCUCAGGGUUCCCGCCUGAGAAGAGAGCAGGCUGUGAAGACUCCCCUCCUGCCUUCUGCUGAGAAACUCAGCUGCAGGUUGGUCCUCCCAGAGAGGACAGGCACCUCUGAAGCCUUGGAGGGAUGGAGCUAUGGAA